rnacentral:rRNA from 1 species
GACGAACGCUGGCGGCGUGCUUAACACAUGCAAGUCGAGCGGUAAGGCCCUUUCGGGGGUACACGAGCGGCGAACGGGUGAGUAACACGUGGGUGACCUGCCCUCAGCUCUGGGAUAAGCCUGGGAAACUGGGUCUAAUACCGGAUAUGACUCCAUGACGCAUGUUGUGGGGUGGAAAGCCUUGUGCGGCUGAGGAUGGGCCCGCGACCUAUCAGCUUGUUGGUGGGGUGANGGCCUACCAAGGCGACGACGGGUAGCCGGCCUGAGAGGGCGACCGGCCACACUGGGACUGAGACACGGCCCAGACUCCUACGGGAGGCAGCAGUGGGGAAUCUUGCGCAAUGGGCGAAAGCCUGACGCAGCGACGCCGCGUGAGGGAUGACGGCCU